CUCUCACUCACCUCGUUCCGUAAAGGGUCGAGCUGGUAGACGUUCUGCAGCUGAUUUCUUAGCCGCAUAGCUAUCGCCAUCGGACCUUGCUCCGCCAUCUUUGGGAAUUCUGCAUACUUCCGGGUAACGGGAGAGUGGACAUCUGAUGGGGUCAUCGCACAUCUGAGUGACAGCACCUUCCUUCCACAAAUCACGCCUUUGGGGAGGACAGAGCUCUGAUGAUAGUUAAAACAUCAAAGAGAAAAGACAGAGGUGCCAAACCCUUUGGCGUACCGUGGCAUUUAUUUCUUCACUGUAUCUCAGACAGUUAAUGGACAGGAUUUAGUAUGUCUCCUGUUGGCAAAAAAGCGAGUAAAAAGAGAAAAGAAAAAGAAAAGACUGCCAUGCUGAUUUCAGUGCCCCUGGCCUAGACCUGUUCACCCAAAGCUCCAAAAACAACCAAACAAACAUUUAUACCGGAUAGGAGGCUCGCCUGCCAAGUCAUGCCAGAGUGAGGCCCUCUGUUUGGUGCACACAGACUUUUGCCUCCCCCUGUCCCAGAGCAAUCAGAGCAUGUAGGGACACCGAGCUUUUUGUUUUCGCCUGCUCCAGCAAUUAGCUGCCAAGUGGUAAGCUAAUGAAGAUAACCUCCUCCAAUCCCUGAUCAGAAGCCAGGGCGCUGACGACAGCUCAAAACACAAAGACUCUUACAGGAAAAAGAGGGGAUAGUUUGGGACCAUUUUAUUGUUAUAAUUCUGGUUUUCAAAACAGAUUGUUAAAACUAAAUUCUGAUCCGUCAAGCCUUAUUUAAAGAGUUAUUUAAAAAAGUACACAUGCGUGUAACUGUGACUGCACAUAAUUUAAAUUCUAUAUUAAUGCUUCAGGUUGCAUAACAGUUUACAGUUACCUGUAUACAUCAAGAGGCACAACUGAUUUGCUAUUGCUUUGUUUUGGCGUAUUACUUCUGAGGACAUUGCAUGACUUGCAAUACAUAGUUGACAAGUACAAUACUGGCUGAUAUAUUAAGUCCUUAAAAUUAAAAUAGCU